CACGGAUACGAUUCCGGGACCACGCCUGGCUGAGGGUCGUUUAAAAAACAUAACCAGACUGCUCGCGGAAACGCGAGCGUAUGCCUGAGUGUUUCGUCGGGUUCUCUCUCUUCAUCGCAAGAUGGAUGAGAGAGCCAGGCGUCGCUCGAAACAAUGGCGAAACAGCAGACGGUGUAUCGCGUAAAGCGGCGCGCCUCGUGAGUGUUUUGAACGAUACGCACACGCACACGCUAUAUGACGAAAUACUAAUUGUAAACAUACACACGUGUUGUUUGCGUCGAGUCCCGGAGCUCUCUGUUUGCGGGCGGACCGAUGCAGCGCGCGUCGUGCGUGGGUAUAUCGUCGCGUGUGCGGCUUAAUGUGCUUUAUAGACACGAACUUGGAAAAAAAAUACACGAAACCGUAUGUUUGUUUUUUGUUGAACGAUUAUUAUAUAAUUUUAACGACGACCUCAGAGCAGGCGAGACUACCCCCUAA
rnacentral:misc_RNA from 1 species